rnacentral:tRNA from 1 species
AGCCCGCUAUCGGAGUCGAACCGAUGACCAUCGCAUUACAAGUGCGGUGCUCUG